GACGAACGCUGGCGGCGUGCUUAACACAUGCAAGUCGAACGGAAAGGCCCUGCUUUUGUGGGGUGCUCGAGUGGCGAACGGGUGAGUAACACGUGAGUAACCUGCCCUUGACUUUGGGAUAACUUCAGGAAACUGGGGCUAAUACCGGAUAGGAGCUCCUGCUGCAUGGGGGGGGUUGGAAAGUUUCGGCGGUUGGGGAUGGACUCGCGGCUUAUCAGCUUGUUGGUGGGGUAGUGGCUUACCAAGGCUUUGACGGGUAGCCGGCCUGAGAGGGUGACCGGCCACAUUGGGACUGAGAUACGGACCAGAAUCCUACGGGCGGCAGCAGUGGGGAAUAUUGCACAAUGGGCGGAAGCCUGAUGCAGCAACGCCGCGUGCGGGAUGACGGCCUUCGGGUUGUAAACCGCUUUCGCCUGUGACGAAGCGUGAGUGACGGUAAUGGGUAAAGAAGCACCGGCUAACUACGUG
rnacentral:rRNA from 1 species